rnacentral:rRNA from 1 species
CGACGGCACCCGUGGAAACCCAUUUUACCUGAAAGGAAGAAUAUACCGUCUGAGCGCGAAGUCUAAUGACUAUAAAACUUUCAACAACGGAUCUCUUGGUUACCGCAUCGAUGAAGAACGCAGCGAAACGCGAUAGUUAAUGUGAAUUGCAGAAUUCAGUGAAUCAUCGAGUCUUUGAACGCACAUUGCGCCUUUUGGUAUUCCGAGAGGCACGUCCGUUCGAGCGUCAGUGAAAACCCUUCUGGGCCCGCCUUUGCCGGCGUGGCCGUGGGACCAUGGCGAGGGGAUGUAGACCCAACCGGUGUCCCGCAAAGGGUGCCGGAAAGGUUUCCCCCGCUUAAACGUGGAGAAAGCUAGCGGGCUGAUUCCGUCGCGACCGCGAAGACUAGUAAGCAUUGCGCACCUGUCACCGCACCAUCCGACGGAACGCCCCGCCUCCCAACCCUAACCGGAAAAAGGCCUGUCCACCCCUUAGCGGGCGACGGACCCUGACCGGAACCUGACUCUUGACCUCGAAUCGGAUGAGGAUACCCGCUGAACUUAA